UUGACAGCCCUGAAGAGGGAGGUCUGCUCAUCCCUAGAACAGGUACAGCACAGUCAGAAACGCUGCAUUUUUCCACAUUGCCAUACUGAUAAACCUCAGCUGCUGCUCAAACGCAGAAUGCCUAGGAGUGAAAGGACAGUUUAAUCUCCAUGUCCAGUCAAUUUUUGGCCUCU
rnacentral:sRNA from 14 species